CAACCUGCCGAUGACUCGGGGAUAGCCUUUCGAAAGAAAGAUUAAUACCCGAUGGCAUAGUUCUUCCGCAUGGUAGAACUAUUAAAGAAUUUCGGUCAUCGAUGGGGAUGCGUUCCAUUAGGUUGUUGGCGGGGUAACGGCCCACCAAGCCUUCGAUGGAUAGGGGUUCUGAGAGGAAGGUCCCCCACAUUGGAACUGAGACACGGUCCAAACUCCUACGGGAGGCAGCAGUGAGGAAUAUUGGUCAAUGGACGAGAGUCUGAACCAGCCAAGUAGCGUGAAGGAUGACUGCCCUAUGGGUUGUAAACUUCUUUUAUACGGGAAUAAAGCGAGGCACGCGUGCCUUUUUGUAUGUACCGUAUGAAUAAGGAUCGGCUAACUCCGUGCCAGCAGCCGCGGUAAUACGGAGGAUCCGAGCGUUAUCCGGAUUUAUUGGGUUUAAAGGGUGCGUAGGUGUGAUUUAAGUCAGCGGUGAAAGUUUGUGGCUCAACCAUAAAAUUGCCGUUGAGACUGGGUUACUUGAGUGUGUUUGAGGUAGGCGGAAUGCGUGGUGUAGCGGUGAAAUGCAUAGAUAUCACGAAGAACUCCGAUUG
rnacentral:rRNA from 1 species